rnacentral:tRNA from 2 species
GGGCCCAUAGCUCAGCUGGUUAGAGCAUCCGGCUCAUAACCGGGCGGUCACUGGUUCGAAUCCAGUUGGGCCCA